CCUACGGGAGGUAGCAGUCGGGAAUAUUGCGCAAUGGAGGAAACUCUGACGCAGUGACGCCGCGUGCAGGAAGAAGGUUUUCGGAUUGUAAACUGCUGUAGACAGGGAAGAAAAUAGACAGUACCUGUAGAAUAAGCUCCGGCUAACUACGUGCCAGCAGCCGCGGUAAUACGUAGGGAGCAAGCGUUAUCCGGAAUUAUUGGGUGUAAAGAGCGCGUAGGCGGAGGUGCAAGUUAGAUGUGAAAGCCCUCGGCUUAACUGAGGAGCGUCAACGGAAACUGCUACCCUUGAGUGCUGAAGAGGAAAGAGGAAUUCCAGGGGUAGCGGUGAAAUGCGAAGAGAUAUGGAGGAACAACAGUGGCGAAGGCGACUUUCUGGUCUGUAACUGACGCGGAUGUGCGAAAGCGUGGGGAUCAAACAGGAUUAGAUACCCUUGUAGUC
rnacentral:rRNA from 1 species